rnacentral:rRNA from 1 species
GACGAACGCUGGCGGCGUGCUUAACACAUGCAAGUCGAACGGAAAGGCCCUGCUUUUGUGGGGUUCUCGAGUGGCGAACGGGUGAGUAACACGUGAGUAACCUGCCCUUUACUUUGGGAUAACUUCAGGAAACUGGGGCUAAUACCGGAUAGUAGCUCCUGCUGCAUGGUGGGGGUUGGAAAGUUUCGGCGGUUGGGGAUGGACUCGCGGCUUAUCAGCUUGUUGGUGGGGUAGUGGCUUACCAAGGCUUUGCCGGGUAGCCGGCCUGUGAGGGUGACCGGCGACAUUGGGACUGAGAUACGGCGCAGACUCCUACGGGAGGCAGCAGUGGGGAAUAUUGCACAAUGGGCGGAAGCCUGAUGCAGAAACGCCGCGUGCGGGAUGAAGGCCUUCGGGGUGGAAACCGCUUUCGCCUGUGACGAAGCGUGAGUGACGGUAAUGGGUAAAGAAGCACCGGCUAACUACGUG